GUCUCUGUUCAGCGGGGAAGCAGCGAGGUUCCCUCCAGAUAGCGGUGAAGGGCGGCUUCCUAACUUUGUUUCCCAAGUCCCCUAACUUCGGAAUGCUUCUGCAUUGGUUCUUGCUCAGUGUCAUACCAGCGACUCCAAGAGUCAUGUCACCCACUUAGCAGGAGUACUUCUACUGAAAUGCCUUCGAAUUUCUCUUACUGGAUAUAUACCUACCAGCCGCUAGCAUGAAGAUGCCAGGACCGCUGCAAGUUAGCACUGGACAAAGUAGCAUCAACUUCUUCAUUUAGAGUUUCUUCAGUUAAAUUGCUGGGAUUUUCGACAAGGCUUUCCUUAUGUGGAUUAUUGGAGUGUGAUGCCCGAGAAUUCUCUACUUGUAGAAGCACGCCCACGGGACUGCAGAAGCCUUCACACCCACCCAGCACGCUCAGAUCAUCCAGUAACCAACCCAGGAAGUUCUUGUAAGCAUGCAUUUCUUAGUCAACACUGAAUGCCUUUAGACCGAGGUCAACCUUUUCAGCUGGUACCGUGGUUUACACUGCUGAUGGGAAUGAGUGAUGGCCAUCCAGUGACCAGCUGGAUCUGACUGCCUUACAAGACGCAUGUGUAUGAUUAAGAGAGAGACAUUCGUGACUCCCAGAUGUACCUCCUUCCUGUCCCACAGUGUUCCUGAAGGGAGUGAGUUAUGGGGUAACUUAUAACACAGCAGGCUCUUCCUCAAGAUAGCUCUUGUCAAAACAGGAAGACGAAACUCGGGUUUCCAUGAGGAGACCACAGCUUGGGAUCCUGUCUGGAUGUACAAGCAGAAGCAUCUUCAUACUUUUCCAUUUCUAACCAUCAUGCCUCACCCCACCCUCCCAAGGCGACAUCUGCAGAGAGGUGGAACCAUCUAGGGAGGCCUGCCACUGUUUGCUGAGCUCCGGGUGAGGAUGAAGACACUUUGACAUGGCCAGCUUCAGACUCGGGAUCUGUCGGUGUUAGCAGCCGAAGGAGAAUGAGGAGGAAGAGGAGGAGAAAGAGGAGGAGGAAGUAAGACAGAGGGGGACAAGAGGACCAAGAGGGCACAUGGCUGAGGAGGAGGAGAACAACAACAACAACAACAACAACAACAACAACAAGAAGCUUGGUGGUGAAACUUGGAAGCCCUCUCCAGGAUGCAGCAGGUAGCUGAGGAGAAAACGAAGACUGACCAGCCCAGAGCUCAGAGCUUCCUCCCAUGCUCAGGAUUUACCACCAAUGCCAUUACAUCGGCCUCUUCUUGUAUGCCUCUGGAAACCACAUGUGUCCUCUGUUUGUAAUGGUUUGGCUAUGGUUGCUGGCCCCUCUUGGACAUUGUUUUCAGAACUUAAAGAAACAUUGCUUUAAAGAUUUAUUAGAACAUAUUUAAAAUAAAACCAUCUUCUCAUUUAGUAUGCAA
rnacentral:lncRNA from 1 species